rnacentral:rRNA from 1 species
CUUCUCUCAGUUCGGAUUGCAGGCUGCAACUCGCCUGCAUGAAGCCGGAAUCGCUAGUAAUCGCGGAUCAGCACGCCGCGGUGAAUACGUUCCCGGGCCUUGUACACACCGCCCGUCACACCACGAGAGUUUGUAACACCCGAAGUCGGUGAGGUAACCUUUUGGAGCCAGCCGCCUAAGGUGGGAUAGAUGAUUGGGGUGAAGUCGUAACAAGGUAGCCGUAUCGGAAGGUGCGGCUGGAUCACCUCCUUUCUAAGGAA